GUUCCCUCUCGUAGGCCGGAGCGUAUUUCAGGUAACUCUGCUCAAGACGCGCCGAUAAAACCUCCAGAUACGUUAACUUUAACAGUCCAGUGUAAUCCGUGCUGCUCGUAUCUUUCGGCUUCAGUGAAAAAUAAUCCCUUUUGUUUUACUCACAAAGUCUUACAGAAAGUGAUUUUAUAUUUCCUCAGUGCCGUUGACCAUAUUUUACAAUUGUGUCCACCGUUAAGUUUAUGCUGCUGCUAAGUUCUUUUGGAUUAAUUUACCUGCGCUGACGCUUUCAUUCUAUCUCUUCCUUUAAACAUGUAGAAAGUUUCUUGAACAGGAGAUGGAUGAAUAGGACAAAAUAGGAGCGACGUGAUUUGCAGCGAAGCUAUGAUAGACAAGGCAGCAGAUAACUUUUCACACACAACAGAAGCGACUGUAUGUCAGACCAUCCUGUUGGCACCGGUGCACGACUCAAAUCAAGAAUCGGACAAUUUCACUGCUCGACAUGGACGAGAAUUCGACCCCCGUCGAAGAAACGGAGACUUUUAUCUACACCAUAAACAACACAGAGGAGUCGCUCAUCUCCUCCAUAGAUCCUUAUUACGAUGACCAUUACAUCGCUGACGUUUGGGUCGGUGUCAUUCUGACUCUCCUUGUGCUCAGUUGCAUUGGCUGUGUCUGUUCUUGCCUCCUAUACUACAAAUUUCAAGAAUGGAAAAGAAGCUUGCUGGCGCAAAAUCCCGAAGCUGGCGAGGGAAAUGAAGGCUACGUAUACGAGGUGGAAUCCUUGCCGAGCUACACGGUUGUGACCGGGCUCCCGAGCUACGAGGAAGCCAUGAAGCAACUUCAAGAGAUCAGAACUAUUCGUCGAGCCUCCCUCACCAAGCAAACCUCACAGGAGGAAACCGACGGCUCCACACCCACACAAAACGCCGAAUCCGCCACUAAAUCUCCCCGCAGACUCUCUUUAGCUGAAAUGUUUUUAAGGAGAUUGAGCAAAUCGUGAGGACUACCCUCUGAGCCAUGUCCAUAUCGCGAUUCUUGCCAGAAAAAAUUAAAUGAAAAAUAAUAUUCUAGAGAGGUUGAAGCAAAAUUUUAAAAAUUUCCUUCGAAGACGAUGAAGGGUCAUCCGUCUAAGAACUAAAAUGUGGUAGGAAAUAUGUAGCGUCGCGCAAACCGAGAUGGAUGAUUUCACCAUCCGAGUAUAAGUAAGUGAGUAGGUAAGUAAGUAAUGUGAAGUUAUGUGCUCUGUAAAUAUUGUCGCUUUAAGUUAAGCAGACUUUUAAGUACCUUUAAGCAUCUGCCAAUGAGGCUGUAUAUUUAUAUACCUAUCGACGAAGAAACUAUACCUCACCACGUCUGUGUUAAGUGUACCAGCUUCCCCGUCACAAUUUACUUUUUUGAAAGAUAGAUGCAUAGCCACCGUCCGUGGUGAAAAUUUUGUGUAAAAUUCAUUUGACCCAUCAAGAAUAUUUUACUUUUUGAGCAAAAAAGUUCAUUGAUUUGGUCAACUGAUAAGUUCCAAUUAGUGUUUCGUAAAAACAACACGUUGAUUAAAAAAACUUGAGUACUGCCAACCUCGUUGCUCAAGAGAAACCAAGUUUGUUUGCAAUUAAAAUUCUAUGACUUUACAGAUGAGAGUUUGCCUCAGUGUCAUAAAGGCUCACAGUGAUAAAGAGCUGAGUGCUCUCUCGCAUUGUUUAACAUUAAGCGGCCUAGUUUUAAAUGAAAAAUUGUAAAAAGAAACUUCUUGUAAAUACAGACAGCUCUUUGAUAUUUUU